UACGUAGGGUCCGAGCGUUGUCCGGAUUUAUUGGGCGUAAAGAGCUCGUAGGCGGUUCCGUAAGUCAGAUGUGAAAACUCAGGCUCAACCCGGAGACGCCAUCUGAUACUGCGGUGACUGGAGUCUGGUAGGGGAACACGGAAUUCCUGGUGUAGCGGUGAAAUGCUUAGAUAUGACAUAGAACACCAAUUGCGAAGGCAGCUUGCUACACUAUUAUUGACACUGAGGCACGAAAGCGUGGGGAUCAAACAGG
rnacentral:rRNA from 1 species